AUACGUAGGGGGCGAGCGUUGUCCGGAAUGCUUGGGCGUAAAGGGCGCGUAGGAGGUCCGGUAAGUCUGGAGUGAAAGUCCUGUUUUUAAGCUGGGAAUUGCUUUGGAUACUGUCGGGGUUGAGUGCAGGAGAGGUAAGUGGAAUUCACAGUGUAGCGGGGAAAUGCGUAGAGAUUGGGAGGAACACCAGUGGCGAAGGCGACUUACUGGACUGUAACUGACGCUGAGGCGCGAAAGUGUGGGGAGCAAACAGGAUUAGAUACCCUGGUAGUCCACACUGUAAACGAUGAAUGCUAGGUGUAGGGGGUAUCGACCCCUUCUGUGCCGCAGUCAACACAAUAAGCAUUCCGCCUGGGGAGUACGGCCGCAAGGUUGAAACUCAAAUGAAUUGACGGGG
rnacentral:rRNA from 1 species